GGGGAUGACCUGGCUUCGACGUGGGUUACAAAACCUGAGGUGCAUGCCGAGGAUGUAGACACCUCGCUAAUCAUUCUGCAAUAUUAUAGUUGCCAACGACGACAACUACGCACUAGCAGCUUAAACCCCUGUAGAGUGCCGUCUGACUGAAGCCGUGCUUAUGCGUUCAGACCCAGGCGUCGACCCUCAUAAGAUCGUGAUGAAGCAUGUCUGGUGUGGAUUCACUAAAACUUAUCCGGACUAGCUGUUAACUUUCCCUGCCCGUCGGGUGGUUAGCCGCAAAAUUAAUAGACUGGGAUAAGCAUGUAGAGCCAAAGGCAGAGGAUUUGCGGACGCGGGUUCAACUCCCGCCAUCUCCACCA
rnacentral:tmRNA from 1 species